GGGGUUAAUUGCGAAGGCUUUCUUCCUCCCGUUCGGUUGCUGCAGGGCUUUUUUGCGAGGGGGUAAGAAAUAUUUCCUACCCAAACAAAUCUCUGCCUACCAGCCAGGUUUUGAUACCUUCCCUCUCCUCAUGCAAAAUCCCGCCUGCCCAGAAAGCCGGGCCAAAAACCCCCGGGGAUUUCAGAGGUCGGGGACACGGCGGAUGGUUUAGGUUUGCUUCUGGACUAAUCCCCUGGAUCGCAGAGGGGAAGCUUCUACCUGGCGUGAGGCGAGGAGCCCUGUUUGUAGGGCUGCCAGCAGCAGGCUCCGUGCAGCGUGCUAUAACCCACGUAACCCAUUACACCACGAGCAGGACCCCGGGCUCACCUGCUUUCCUCAUGCUCCUGCCUCCCUAAAUCCAAACAAGCCCAGCUCAGAGCUCAGUGGCCUCAGAAGUGAUGCUGAAUUUUGGGGGCUCCUCACUCAGCUCAUGUACUGCGGACCUGAGGGUUUGGGUGUCCUGCCCAAAGCCUAACCCCUGCCCACAGCCUUCCUAAAUCUCUUCCUAAAUAUGAGAGCUGAAAGCCCAUUUGUUUGUUUUUUCCCCCAGUAACGAGGCUAUUUUAAUACAAGUUAUUAUUAUUACUAUUAUUACUAAUUAUUCAUUUACAUUUAUUUUAUUUUAUUUUAUUUUUUUUAUAAAUCUCUUCCCUGAAUUAUUUGCAGAAACGUUCAAGACACAACGUGAUGUGGCUGGACCAGGAGAACCACGACUUUCUUUUAACUGCCACAGCUCAGGUAAGCAAAGGAGGACAGUUUUCAAAGUGGGGUCUGUUCGUGCAGCAGCCGCCCCAGAAGCGCGCAGUCCUGAUUGCCACGCCAGCAGCAGGAGCCCCGUGCUCAGCCCCGCACAGCUCAGCCCCAGGUCUCCGACCCACUUUUCUGAGCCAUCUUUAUUUGCCAGAAAUGGAGAUUAAACGGCAAGAUUUCUCCUAUUCAUUUUCUACAAACCUUCCUCCUUGUGCUUUAUUGAUAUAAAUUACAGGAAAAUCAAUCACCGUGCUGUCAGCUGAGUAUUUAUUUCUCUCUAGCUGGUGGAGCGCAGAUUCACUCCAGGUACCGUGGCUCUGCCCUGCACUCUCACGAUCAGUGGAUAACGCAUUUUUCAGUCCUCUUACCUCCAGCCUCCAGCUGCAUGGACCGGGUAACACAAACCACACUGAGCCGGGCAGCGCAGUGCCGCAGCACGUGCUGCCGCGGCGCUGGGGAAGUGGUGGUGGAAGCACAUUAAAUAAAGGACGGAGUCGUUCCCUGCCCUCCA
rnacentral:lncRNA from 1 species